CGUGCGGUUCUAUUUUGUUGGUUUCUAGGACCGCCGUAAUGAUUAAUAGGGACAGUCGGGGGCAUCAGUAUUCAAUUGUCAGAGGUGAAAUUCUUGGAUUUAUUGAAGACUAACUACUGCGAAAGCAUUUGCCAAGGAUGUUUUCAUUAAUCAGGAACGAAAGUUAGGGGAUCGAAGACGAUCAGAUACCGUCGUAGUCUUAACCAUAAACUAUGCCGACUAGGGAUCGGACGAUGUAAAUAAUUGACUCGUUCGGCACCUUACGAGAAAUCAAAGUGUUUGGGCUCCAGGGGGAGUAUGGUCGCAAGGCUGAAACUUAAAGAAAUUGACGGAAGGGCACCACCAGGGGUGGAGCCUGCGGCUUAAUUUGACUCAACACGGGGAAACUCA
rnacentral:rRNA from 1 species